rnacentral:rRNA from 1 species
UACGAAGGGGGCUAGCGUUGCUCGGAAUCACUGGGCGUAAAGCGCACGUAGGCGGAUCCUUAAGUCGGGGGUGAAAUCCUGGAGCUCAACUCCAGAACUGCCUUCGAUACUGAGGAUCUCGAGUCCGGGAGAGGUGAGUGGAACUGCGAGUGUAGAGGUGAAAUUCGUAGAUAUUCGCAAGAACACCAGUGGCGAAGGCGGCUCACUUGCCCGGUACUGACGCUGAGGUGCGAAAGCGUGGGGAGCAAACAGG